AUUGAACGCUGGCGGCAUGCUUUACACAUGCAAGUCGAACGGUAACAGGCCGCAAGUUGCUGACUAGUGGCGAACGGGUUAGUAAUGCAUCGGAACGUUCCCAGUCGUGUGGGCUAACUACUCGAAAGAGUAACUAAUACCGCAUACGAUCUAUUAAUGAAAGCGUGGGACCGUAGGGCCUCGCGCGAUUGGAGCGGCCGAUGUCAGAUUAGGUAGUUGGUGGGGUAAAGGCUCACCAAGCCAACGAUCUGUAGCUGGACUAAGAGGACGACCAGCCACACUGGGACUGGGACACGGCCCAGACUCCUACGGGAGGCAGCAGUGGGGAAUUUUGGACAAUGGGCGCAAGCCUGAUCCAGCAAUGCCGCGUGCAGGAAGAAGGCCUUCGGGUUGUAAACUGCUUUUGUACGGAACGAAAAGGAUCUGGUUAAUACCCGGGGCUAAUGACGGUACCGUAAGAAUAAGCACCGGCUAACUACGUG
rnacentral:rRNA from 1 species